GCCCGGCGCUCAGAAGUGAUGAAUUGAUCAGAUAGACGAGGCCGGGCCUGCCCCGGGCCGCUGAUUACCGAGGCGAUUCUGAUCUGA
rnacentral:ncRNA from 1 species